rnacentral:rRNA from 1 species
UACGUAGGCAGCGAGCGUUGUUCGGAAUUAUUGGGCGUAAAGGAGCGUGUAGGCGGCCAAGCAGGUCAGCUGUGAAAACUCGAGGCUCAACCUCGAGACGUCGGUUGAAACCGCUUGGCUAGAGUCCGGAAGAGGAGAGUGGAAUUCCCGGUGUAGCGGUGAAAUGCGCAGAUAUCAGGAGGAACACCAAUUGCGAAGGCAGCUCGCUGGGACGUUACUGACGCUGAGACGCGAAAGCGUGGGGAGCAAACAGG